ACCAAGGCAACGAUCCGUAGCUGGUUUGAGAGGAAGACCACCCACCAUGGGGAUGGGACCCGGCCCAGAUUCUUAGGGGAGGCAGCAGUGGGGAAUUUUGGACAAUGGGGGAAACCCUGAUCCAGCCAUCCCGCGUGUAUGAUGAAGGCCUUCGGGUUGUAAAGUACUUCUGGCAGAGAAGAAAAGGUAUCCCCUAAUACGGGAUACUGCUGACGGUAUCUGCAGAAUAAGCACCGGCUAACUACGUGCCAGCAGCCGCGGUAAUACGUAGGGUGCAAGCGUUAAUCGGAAUUACUGGGCGUAUAGCGUGUGUAGGCGGUUCGGAAAGAAAGAUGUGAAAUUCCCAGGGCUCAACCUUGGAACUGCAUUUUUAACUGCCGAGCUAGAGUAUGUCAGAGGGGGGUAGAAUUCCACGUGUAGCAGUGAAAUGCGUAGAUAUGUGGAGGAAUACCGAUGGCGAAGGCAGCCUCCCUGGGAUAAUACUGACGCUCAGACACGAAAGCGUGGGGAGCAAACAGGAUUAGAUACCCUGGGUAGUCCACGCCCUAAACGAUGUCAACUAGCUGUUGGGGCCGUUAGGCCUUAGUAGCGCAGCUAACGCGUGGAAGUUGACCGCCUGGGGGAGUACGGUCGCAAGAUUAAAACUCAAACGGAAUUGACGGGAGACCCGCACAAGCUGGUCGGAUGAAUGUGGGAUUAAUUCCGAUGCAAUCGCGAAAAACCAUUACCUACCCCUGACAUGGUCUGGAAAGCCGAAGAGAUUUGGCCGUGCUCGCAAGAGAACCGGAACCACAGGUGCUGCAUGGCCGUCGUCAGCUC
rnacentral:rRNA from 1 species